rnacentral:lncRNA from 1 species
UUUGAACUCUGGCUGCCAAGCAGAGCAAGUAUUCCUUUUAAAAACCCACCUCGGAGACUUUGAUUUGUGAAAGCUCAAAGGGUAGCCUUCCCACUGAACCCCAUUGCAGCCAAAAGAAAGAUGGGUACUCAACAUAUUUUGCUUUAAGAAAUCAAUAUUUUUUCUUGGAAAUCAACAGGUUAAAAAAAACAACUUUAAAAAAAAUCAACUUCUUUAUCUCAGAAAUGUUGGGGAAGCAUCAAAGAGGAUAAAGCAGCAGUUAUAUUGAUAAGUAGAAUACAUGUUAAUUGCUUCUGAUGAUGAUCCUUUUUGGGAAUUUGCUCUGGACCAGGCACUUGGCUAAGCUCUUCGCUCAUUUUGGGUUAUUUCAUCCAAUCCUUCCCCACAACCCCACACAGCAGGCACUGGUAUUGUCGCCAGUUUGUCCACGACCCCAGAGUUAGGAAGUGGUAAAGCUGGGAUCUGACCCCGGAGCGGUGAGAUUUCAGAACUAAGGGAAUCACAUUCCUGCCCCAGGGUGAAAUCUAAUCAUAGACAUUUAUCGAAUGGUUUUCCUUCAAAGUUACACAGAGAGCUGGGAUGUGUAAGAAGACCUGCCGGAAAAUACCUGAGCCCAGCCCUGCCUGGGAGGGUACGCUGGUGAUCCAGCUUUGGCAUUUCUUAUGUUCAUUGUUUUUUAACGUUCCAAGAUACUCCUGGGAGGAGCCCAAGACAAGGGAAUUUCCAGGCAAACCAAAUUGCUCUGGGCACCUGGAAAAGUAGAGACAUGUAAGUGGAAGAAGGAGAAUGGGGGGACGGGUGGGAAAUACCAAGUGACAAGAUGAGGACAUACGGGGAGAGAACUGAUAAGGGACAGAGCCAGAAGGAACAGGGACAUGAGUGCAGUCUGGGCUCUUGCUGACCGUGAGCUUCGAAUGCCAUGUUAACGCCCUUCCCCAAGGAGGCACACGCAGAAUAAAGAUGAGGAAGCAAGGUGGGACUUUGCAGGUGUAUGAAGCACCUGCUUUCGUGUUGAAUGGAGGUAAGUACGGUCCAUCGCUCGGAGGCAGUCUCCUGCAAGGUAGGUGUCAAAGCCCUCUGUUCCCCACAGCUGUGUCUAAAUUUCAUGCCUUCAACUUCUUUUCCUUGGUCUCCCCGCCUCCAGCCUUCCACCUCCGCAGGCUCUUCACCUCGCCUGGGUGUGCAAACCCCCAGCCGAGGGCCCGGCCGUGGCCUAGGGGUGCAAUGUCAGCUGGAGGGGAUCAGAGCUGCCAGAUGUCCAUGCUGCCCGAAAGUAGCUGGGAAGCUGGGAAGCAGGUGGCUCCAUGGCCAAAGAGAGGCUGA